rnacentral:rRNA from 1 species
UACGAAGGGGGCUAGCGUUGCUCGGAAUUACUGGGCGUAAAGGGCGCGUAGGCGGAUAUCUAAGUUGGGGGUGAAAUCCCGGGGCUCAACCUCGGAAUUGCCUUCAAAACUGGGUAUCUUGAGUUCGGGAGAGGUGAGUGGAACUCCGAGUGUAGAGGUGAAAUUCGUAGAUAUUCGGAAGAACACCAGUGGCGAAGGCGGUUGGCUGGGCCACAACUGACACUGAUGCGCGACAGCGUGGGGAGCAAACAGG